GGGACCUUAAACUGGAUCUGUUCUAUAUGCUGGUACCGUUGCAUCCUUCAGCACAACGAGUCAACGAGUCAAGCACUCAAGCCUAGUUGAUGAGACGUGGCCUCUGGCCAGAGCGUGAUUAACGGCCAGGAUGCUCUAAUCACGGAGCCAUCCGACGGCUGUAGAGGAUCGUUCCUGCCUCGGUGCAGGGGUGGCUCAGAGGUUCUCUCAUGAUCC
rfam:Oryza brachyantha chromosome 2, whole genome shotgun sequence.